CGUCUGAUGAAACAUAAUCCUUCCCACGCUCACACCCUACCCUAUUACCCUCUCACCUACGACGCCGCCCCCGUUCCCCACGGACGCCAUGGCGGCCACAGCCUUCCGAUCCUCCUAUGAACGCAUUGCUGCCUGCGACACCGCCUAACCACGGUCUCCACUGGUGCCGCGAUGGCCGCGGCCUCCACUCAGAUCCAUCCGCUGUUGACCCCAUAUCCUCCCUCACGACGGGAUCCGGCCUCCACCACUGUGCAUUGGUGCGACGGGAUAUCGGGAUCCACCACUCCUCGGCCGCCGCUCGACCUCCACGACUGCGCCUCGCCAAUGCUUGGUUCCCCGCAUCCUGCCCUUUAUCGGUAUGGACUCGUGCUAUUCGACCCCAUGGUGCCGUGCUGGACGCGUGCUCCGCGGUCCUCCCCUCCCUCCAUGGUCUCGUAUAGUCAAAGUACGAUGGCGAGCCCUGGCACGGACGCGUGGGCUACUGCUGUUCUGGCUGGAGAACACCUAUCAGAUGUCCUACAGUGCAGGCUGCAGGCAUGAACUAUGUAUAUAAAUGAUGAAUGGGUCCUGCCUUGAACCAUCAGCAGAUUAGCGUUGCUUGCGUUGAUCAAACGUUUGCCCUGGACAUCCUGCUUAACGUCGACGACGGUGGCAAGACCACAGGCUUGAUAUAAUCACGCUCCCGCUCGCUCGGCCUCCUACCCCGCACGGGACGAGAUCGGCACAAUGAUGUCAACCACUUCCAGGUCGCCUAGGCCUUCCGCGCAUUUGACCAAGGCAAUGGAGGAUGCAUCACAACUGCCCAGCUUGUGCGCUCCAUGGUGCCAUUACAAGUGGCUGGAGGAAUGGUGUAUGCUCACAAG